rnacentral:tRNA from 1 species
GGGGAGUUGCCCGAGCGGCCAAAGGGAACGGGCUGUAAACCCGUCGGCGUACGCCUACGGUGGUUCGAAUCCACCACUCCCCA